rnacentral:snoRNA from 1 species
ACCCGAUGAAGAAGAAAACCCAAAAGAUAGGAAGUGCCGUAUGACACUAAACACAACAGCGUGACU